rnacentral:rRNA from 1 species
AUUGAACGCUGGCGGCAGGCCUAACACAUGCAAGUCGAGCGAGCGGCGGACGGGUGAGUAAUGUCUGGGAAACUGCCGGAUGGAGGGGGAUAACUACUGGAAACGGUAGCUAAUACCGCAUACCAUCAGAUGUGCCCAGAUGGGAUUAGCUAGUAGGUGGGGUAACGGCUCACCUAGGCGACGAUCCCUAGCUGGUCUGAGAGGAUGAACAGCCACACUGGAACUGAGACCCGGUCCAGAGUCCUACGGGAGGGAGCAGUGAGGAAUAUUGCACAAUGGGCGCGAGCCGGAUGCAGCCAUGCCGCGUGUGUGAAGAAGGCCGUCGGGUUGUAAAGCACUUUCAGCGGGGAGGCGUUACCCGCAGAAGAAGCACCGGCGAAAUCCGUGCCAGCAGCGGCGGUAAUUC